GAGAAGAGUAAAAUUUCAGGUAAGAUGUUUUUCUUCCAAUUGGCCUGACUGGUAUAACAUCAAUCAGUUUGGAGAUUAAAAAAAAGCGAAUUGUUUUAUAACGAUGUUAUGGUUGCAACUUUUUAACAGCCUGAGGGCCUGUAGAUAAGCCUACGACCGUCGAAAGCAUAUCAUGGAUUGCAUUUUCUUUUAUAUGCGAUUAGGUUGAAAGCAGAGGAAGAAAUUUUAACAUAAUAAUAUCAAAUUAAUUUAGAGUUGUUUAAUCUCGAAACUCGUAUCUGAUAUGUAAAGUAUUAGACCCUGCUCGAAGCAAAUCAAUUAUAACAACAACUCCAAGGUGUAGUGUGACGUAUUAAGAUAUUUGCAUUGUUACUGUGUAUCUCAUAAUUGUUCUUCAGUUAAAGAAAGAAAACAUUUGUUGUUUAGUUAAAGAAAGAAAAAGCGAUGACGAUUUUUUAUCAUUUCAUGAUUGUUUUGGUGGUUUGUUCUCUGAUGUUUGAAGAAGGGCAUUCUAAAGGUUUGAAGGAGUAUUAUAGCUAUAGCAUUAUCUCGUAUCUUAUAUGUAAUUACCAUAUUUCAUUACCACGAUCUAUUACCAGAAAUUCGCAACAAAAUACUCACUCCUUAGUCUACACUAAUUUGCAUAAAUGACUCCUGUACAACGGCCUUCCAUUUUCAACAGAGAAAACAUUGGGUGGAAAUAUUUAAUUUGAAGUUGUGGCUACCCGACAGUUCGACUGCUGCUUGCCGACCUCGCGAUCAUUUUGAAAAGUGUCGGUUGCACAUUCAUUCAUACCCGGCAUGGUAUCUUCACG